CAGUUACAGAAUCAUGCUCAGGUGACCACCUGGACAAUUCCCCUCUCGCAGGCUGGAAUCUGGAGCUGCUACAGGGCAGUCUGCUGCGUGAGAAUAGAGACCUCUGCCUUCUUCAUCCACUGCUGUGUCCCAGUGUCAGGCACGGGCCCAGCAUGCAGUAGGGCUUCAGUGAAUGGGUGCUGGUUGCUGUGAUUAAUUCCAAGUACUACAUCAUUAUGUGCUUCUCAAACUGGAGGCUGCCCAGGCCCAAUUCUGUGCCAGAAGAAUGCAAAACAGAGCAUCCAAUAUAACUUUCUGAAGCAUCAAGAUUAUUGCAAGAUUUGGAAAAGCCAAGUACUUUAGU